UCUCUGGCUGGAGUCGUGGUGCUGGAGCUGUUGCUGUGAGAGGAGGAGAGUCUUGGCUGUGCCGUCAGGCGGUCUAAUCCUGGGCUUAAGCCUCACUCACAGACGCGCAUCGGCCAAGAAGGGAAUUAGUGUGGCAUAGAUCGAAGGGAGACACAGCCGUGUGCAGCGCAAGAAUUAGCGGCGGUAGAGAAACUUCCAGAGGAGUGUGAGGCCUUCGACUUCACUGCCAAUGACAGGAAGUGCA